AAACCAUGAUGAGGGCAAUCUCUCUCAUACUCCUUGAAUCGCUCCCAGGCUUCAUUGAAUGAUUCUAUUAGGCCUUGUUGGAAGCUUUGUAUCUUGUUCUCAACUGGUUC
rnacentral:snoRNA from 1 species